UACGUAGGGGGCUAGCGUUAUCCGGAUUUACUGGGCGUAAAGGGUGCGUAGGCGGUCUUUCAAGUCAGGAGUGAAAGGCUACGGCUCAACCGUAGUAAGCCUUUGAAACUGGGAAACUUGAGUGUAGGAGAGGAGAGUGGAAUUCCUAGUGUAGCGGUGAAAUGCGUAGAUAUUAGGAGGAACACCAGUUGCGAAGGUGGCUCUCUGGGCUGUAACUGACGCUGAGGCACGAAAGCGUGGGGAGCAAACAGGAUUAGAUACCCUGGUAGUCCCUGAG
rnacentral:rRNA from 1 species